rnacentral:rRNA from 1 species
GACGAACGCUGGCGGCGUGCCUAAUACAUGCCAGUCGAACGCUGAAGGAGGAGCUUGCUUCUCCGGAUGAGUUGCGAACGGGUGAGUAACGCGUAGGUAACCUGCCUGGUAGCGGGGGAUAACUAUUGGAAACGAUAGCUAAUACCGCAUAAGAGUAGAUGUUGCAUGACAUUUGCUUAAAAGGUGCAAUUGCAUCACUACCAGAUGGACCUGCGUUGUAUUAGCUAGUUGGUGGGGUAACGGCUUACCAAGGCGACGAUACAUAGCCGACCUGAGAGGGUGAUCGGCCACACUGGGACUGAGACACGGCCCAGACUCCUACGGGAGGCAGCAGUAGGGAAUCUUCGGCAAUGGACGGAAGUCUGACCGAGCAACGCCGCGUGAGUGAAGAAGGUUUUCGGAUCGUAAAGCUCUGUUGUAAGAGAAGAACGAGUGUGAGAGUGGAAAGUUCACACUGUGACGGUAUCUUACCAGAAAGGGACGGCUAACUACGUG